UGAUGAAAAAAGAUAAGGCCAAUCAAAAGGAAUCAAAAAGCCGAGUCUAUCACAGUUAAAUUAGACUUUUAAAUAUGCUAUUGAGAUCAGAGGGGUUUGCGUGCAAUUGUCUCCUUAACUUUGGCAGGGAAAUCAUUAAUCAUUUGAUGUUAAAUUUAGGCAGAUUGUUGAAUAAAUGAGCACACUAGGCCCACAUGGUGCUGAACCAAAAGGAAAAAGAGAGGGAUGAGAGAAAGGAGAGGAAAGGAAAAAGGGGAGCUCUCCUCUCGGCAGGCCCCUGGGAAAAGCAGAUCCAGUCUUGGUGGUCAUCUCAAGCCUCAGUCUUUGGACGCCAGCCUUCUUAAAUGGCAAAUCUUUUUAAGAGCUUGAAAAUCUUGCCAAGUCCGAAGAUAGAACUCACUCUGAUACCGAGCGGCUUUUAAUAGAAGUGACCUCAGGGAGGGUAUGAGCGGUGUGUCACUUCAGGGCUUACGGAGUCCAUGUGGUGGUCAUCUGAUGAGCUUCCCGGUUUCCUGUCAUCACUGGGCACCAGUGAGCGCAGACCAGGUGCAGGACAGCGCUGGGGAGACCUGAUGCUUCUGAUUUAAUGAGGCUUCAUGGGUGUGGCUCCCUCCUGCCUCCUAACACAGCCACGCCAACCCAGGUUUAAAGACCCGGACUUCUGGAGUUCAGGCAGAAUGGGAUCGGCGGUGUCUCUGGAGCGCUGGGAUGCAUGUUCGAUCCCUGGCCCGGAACGGUGGGUUAAGGAUCCUGAAGCUGUGGCGUAGGUCACAACUGUGGCUCGGAUCUGAUCCGGGGAAAUCCCUCUGCCUCGGAGUGACACAAAGAAGGUAAGAAGGAAAAAAAAAAAAAAGGGACCCUGAGCCUCGAGUUCUGCUUUCUUUCUCUGUUCGCCUUACAGCAGAGUGAGACAAAGUCAGCAAUUUGAGACAUACAGACAGCAGAUCAAGGAAGCCAGAGAAAGAGACGUCUCUUGGACUCCAGGAACAGGCUGCAUGGGCCUAUCUUCUGUUAACUGGCCAUCCUCUACAGUUUAAAUCGUCUGUUAUGUAACCCUUCCAGAGUAAAACCCUGAACCAGCCAGCUGGGACCUGCUUGGCCAUAUGAGGACAUUAUUCAAAUGGUCCCAGGUCACUCAAUUAUCCAUCAGAGUCUGCAUGGAGCAUCUAUGCAUUCGGGUCACAAGAUUGUAUAAAAUGCUGCAGGGAACACAGGAGUGGAGGCGAUGUGGCCCUUGCCACCAAAGAGCCUGUUCCUUUCAGACUUACUGUUUAUUUCCUAGCAGGCAAUAUCUAAAUCAUCCCACCCCGCCGCCUCCAGCCAAAGACCUGUAUUAUUUUCUCAGGCAGCUUGAGACGCUUAUUAGACUCAUCUCAGUCAGUGUGAAUGUUAAGCCAUCACCAAAUGUCUUCAUCUACCUCCCCCUCCGCCUGGUAUGUUUCCCUUCCAGGUCCAGGCCCUGGUUUCCAGCCCACAUGGCUUCCCUGGGGGUGACCUCCUCAUGGCUCUUCCCUCCUCAGAAUCUACCGAUCAUCCUGCACAGAGAGAAAACGGGUACUAGAAAUACAAGCUGCACCAGAAGAGGAGUUCUUACUGAGGAUCUACUUUCCUAGAAAAAUGAUCCUUUGUCACCUUAAAGAAGUGGUGUUGCCUCUGCACAUCAUGACAGGCUUUCUGAGCUGAGUCAAGCUGUGAUCACUUUCUACCCCUCGUUCGCACAGAAUCGUGGCUGGGGCAGGAGCUGGGACAGGUGAAAGGAAGCUGUUUGAAGAGAGAGGCCUCAACUCAUUUAAAAUAAUAAAAUGACUGCCUUCCUUCGGAAUCGGGCAGGACUCUGGCCUAAAGAGGUUUGGGGAUAAUGAUCUUGCCUGAAUACGUGCAGAGUUGAUGCUCCAAAAUGGCCACGGCAUCCAGUCCGUGUCACGGCUAAACUGCACCCAACCUUGACAACCCCCGUCACGGGCAGACGGGCCUUUCCAUAAACCGUUAGCUCUGCCCCAGGCCCUGUGGCCUAAAAAGCAUCGUUUGUUCUUUAAAGUACUGACACUCGGCCAUCUUUUCUCUCUCCAAUUCCACAGUCACAGGUCGGUCUGGGGACAGGCUGUCCAUUGUUCUCUCCUUGUUUCACUGGUGGGCUCUAUCCUAUGGCAAGGUUUUUUUAAUUGACUCUCAGAUGAUUGUAAGGGUAGCUCAUGAAUCAGAACCCGGGGCUCUCCAUGUGACCGCCGGCUCUCACAGAUCUGUAUAAACUUCUAAAUAGUUUUGGAGAAAGGCAAGCGCCUGUGUGUGUGUGUGUGUGUGUGUGUGUGUGUGUGUGUGUGUACUAAUUCGAGCAUCCCCCCAGAGACCUUGUCUUCCCCAGACCCGCAGCAGCCUCAGGCUGUGUUUCCCAUUAAGGAUUUAUUUUCUUCUAUGAAGGGAUCUUUCUGCCCCCAAAGAGGCUCAGUUCCCACUUAGUGCCUGUUAGAAGGUCCCGGAGAUUAGAUUGAGCAGAGGGUCUCAGGAUACAAGUUUCAAUGCACAUUAUUCAUAGAGAAAAUAAGAUCAGGGCUGAGAAAAUCCAGUUUUGUGAUGGGUGAGACAGGGGCCAGCUGUCAUUCUUGCUGGAUCCUGGGCGAUUCAUUAAACCUGUGUCUUCACCCCUCCCAAGGAUAAAGGCACGUGUUCCUGCCCACUUCCGACCCGUUAGAGCCUUGCGUGGGCAAUGAGAUAAUGCUUUGGGAGUUCGUCUGCAUACCUGCCUUAAGGAUGUGAUAAUUAUUGGUGUUACCAUGGUUCAGCACCUAGCAAUGGCCCUCUGUGAGAUGGGCAUUCUCCCGGCUGACAGGUAAAUAAGAACAGAUCUGGCUUGUUCCAGACGCGCAGUCACAGCCUGUUGAUAAAUAGGGAUCCAGAAGUCACAUGCAGGCUGGCCUCAGGUAAACCGCGGCUCACACUCUAUUUUUAGUUAAUAGGGCUCUGCUGAAGUAUGUCUCCAAGUCCCAGCCUUCUCACCCGUGGUUCAUCGGGGUCACAGGCAAUAGCUGUGCAGAAUAAAGAGGCCGUCUGAGACCGUCUCAAGCAUGAGAGCAAGAGCGAGCCCCAUGUGGCAGGGCAGGGGGAGGUAGAGGGGCAAUGGCCCUACCAAUCCCAAAGUCACUGUCAUCCAACGGUCCCCCCUCCUCUACCAGCCUUCUCACCAGGAGGCCUCACGGGCUGCUCAGAGCUCACCCCACUUUCCGAUGAGCACCCUGCGCCUCCACCCCCGUGCACACUGGGUUCGAGACAGUUAUGGCAACCUCACUUUCCACCGCCAAGUGUCUCCAUUUGGUUGUUUCAUCCUUCCUGCCAGAGCCCAGCCCCUGCCUGUUGACUCUGAUACAUCUUUCACAGAAUCUCAUUUUCAUCCCUGUCACUGGAGUCCAAAUGCCAACAUACUGAUUAUUCUCGCUGUGACAAAUACAGUCUCUCUUCAGCAGUCUCUUCAGAUCUCGGUCUCCUGGGAAAACAGCUCCCUCCCCUCCGAGCCUUUUCCUAAUAUUGCCCACUCAGCUCAGCCCCAGCCCCUCUGAACCCUUUGCAAGUUCACCCCACCUACCCUUCCUAUCUGUUCUGCGAUGGCAUCUUUUCCCAGCGUCUGCUUCACCUGUCUCCGCCUGUCUGUGUGACUCCAGGCUGCCCCUUGGUCAGCAGGACAGAGCCUUCUGCCUCCGUGGGCUGCUGCCAAGCUUAAUUUUAGCACUCUGCAAAUGACAGUAAGUCCUGCAAAGCAGAUCAAAGCAUUGGCCCCUGCAUGCUGGCCAGCAUGGCGAAUGAUUCUCUGGGACAGAGCAAACAACCUCGAAAAUUUCUUAUGAGUCAGCUGUGAGGCGCUCAGGCAAGCAAGAUCACAGGACAAGUUCACACGUUCACAUGGAAUGACCAGGAGGCUCAUUUGCCACAGAGGUCAAGCUCGUAGGCUGGCAGCCCCAUCAGCCCGGCAGAAGGACAGGCUUCCGCAGAGAUGUCUCUUCGGAGAAUGUCACACUUAGGCCAUCUCCAGACAGCCUCGCUUGGGCGAAGGUGGCCUUUGUCACGGGAAUAAAUCUGAGGUCCUUUUGAUGAAGAAGCCCAGAAUGCCAUCUUCCACCACAGGAAUGUCUUUCUCAAGCUUUUGGAUAGAAAAUAGUCAGCGGAAGGCUAUCGGUUUUGGAUGAAUGAUCCAAACUAUCAAUAAAAAAUUAUCAAAUAGA